rfam:Phytophthora infestans T30-4 supercont1.10 genomic scaffold, whole genome shotgun sequence.
GCGCCGUUGGUUUAAUGGUAAAAUAUCUCGUUGCCAACUAGAUGGGGCGGGUUCGAUUGCCGGACAGCGCA